AUGGCGACGCUGUCGGCGGGCGUGCUCCUGAAGCUGCUGGACGGGAUGAAGACGGGCGCGGCGAAGCCGGUGGGCGAGCACCGGACGGCGGUGCUGCAGGUGACGGACAUCGUGCCGGCGGAGAUGGACGAGGUGGACCUCUUCCCCAAGCACGGCCGCUUCUACGUCAAGGUCUCCGACUCCUCCCACUCCAUCUACGCCACGCUACCCCCCGCGCAGGCCGACCUCGUGCUCGCCAACAAGCUCAGCCUCGGCCAGUUCCUCCACGUCGACCGCCUCGACCCGGGCUCCCCCGUCCCCGUCGUCGUCGGCGCCAGGCCCAUCCCCGGGCGCCACCCGCUCGUCGUCGGCACCCCCGAGCCCCUCGCCAGGAAGCCCGCCGCGCCGCGCAGGGGCUCCUGGGGCCCCGAGAACCAUGGUGGCGCCACGGUGGCGUCGCCCAAGGUCGUCAGGCCCAUCGCGCUCUGCUUCGAGGAGAGGACGCCCGUCAAGGAGCGCCCCUCGCCGGCGCGCAGCUCGGUGUCUUCCGUCAGGAAGAGCACCAGCGUCAUGCCGAGGUUGGUGACACGCAGCCGGAGCUUCGUCGCCGACCGCGGCGACCCCCCUCCGCCGCCCAACAAGAUCCCCAAGAGCCCCUUGGCACCCGAGAAGAGCUCCAUGAGCUGCACGGCCGUGCGCACGAUGAGCAGGAGGCCCAGGGAGGAGGAGCCCUCCUCGCCGGUCUCCGACGACGACGCCGGCAGCACCGCCACGUCCUCCAAGCGGCGGCCCUCGUCGUCGGCCGCCCGCGUGCCCGUGCCGGUGAAGCUCAGCUCCCUCGGCAAGGAGGCCAUGGAGCAGCGGGAGCAGGCGCAGAAGGCGGCGCUGGAGGCGCUGCGCAACGCGUCGGCGACGGACAACGUCGUCAGGAUCUACAAGAUGUUCGCCGACGUGAGCAAGGCGGCGAGGCCGGACGCGCCCGCGGCCUGCUUCGACGGCUUCCUCAGCUUCCACCAGGAGGCCGCGCAGGCCGUGGCCGACAUCGAGUCCAUCCAGGCGGCCACCUCCAUGGCCGCUGCGGCCACCAGCGACGUGCUCGCCGAGGCGACGCCGGCGCCGAACGUGCUGCAGGAGAUCGCGCAGAACAGGGCCACGACGCCGGCGAGGCGGCGGGGCCUGCUCGGGUUCGGCGGCGUGUCCAAGUCGGUGUCCUUCGCGCCGGGCACGCUCCAGGACCCUUCGUCGCGGCAGGACGGCGGCGGCGCCCGGAGCUCCAGCGCCAGCAGGAAGUGCCUCGGGACGCCCGUCGACGGCGGCGACGACAAGAGCAAGAGGUCGUCCGCUCCUGCCGGAGUAGCAGUGGUGGCGGUGGCGCAGUCGCCUCUGGGGUCGUCGCUGAGGAUGGCGAGGCAGAUGCAGGCGGAGGCCGGGGGCUGGUUCAUGGAGUUCCUGGAGGCGGCGCUGGAGGCCGGGCUGAAGAAGAAGCGCACGAGCAGCAGUGGGAAGCCGGGGGCGACGGGGGCGCAGAGCUGCCCGCAGUCGCUGGUGCUGCGCGUGAUCAACUGGGUGGAGAUGGAGCAGAGCGGCGGCGAGAGCCGGAAGGCCGGGCACCCCAGGGCGGCCGCCAUCGCCAGGAAGCUUAGGAUCAAGGCCAAGAACCCCUGA
rnacentral:rRNA from 1 species